rnacentral:rRNA from 1 species
UACAGGGGGGGCAAGCGUUGUUCGGAUUCACUGGGCGUAAAGGGUGCGUAGGUGGUGAGGUAAGUCGGAUGUGAAAGCUCGGAGCUCAACUCCGAAAUGGCAUUGGAAACUACCUUGCUCGAGGGUUGGAGGGGGGACUGGAAUUCUCGGUGUAGCAGUGAAAUGCGUAGAUAUCGAGAGGAACACCAGUGGCGAAGGCGAGUCCCUGGACAACUCCUGACACUGAGGCACGAAAGCUAGGGGAGCAAACAGG